GGUUUUUGGUAUUUAUAUCAAAGGUCUAAUCUGCUCAAUGAUAGUUUUAUUAAAUAGCCAUGGUAAAUUGACCAUGCAAAGGUAGCAUAAUAAUUAGUCUUUUAAUUGGAGUCUGGAAUGAAUGAUUGAAUGAGAAAUAAUCUUUCUUUAAUAUUUUAAUUGAACUUAAUUUUUAAGUGAAAAAGCUUAAAUAAUUUUAAGGGACGAUAAGACCCUAUAGAGCUUAAAAUUUAUUUAUUUUUAAUUAUUUUAGUUUGUAAAUAUUUUAUAAUUAAUUUAAAUUUUUUAUUGGGGUGAUAGAUAUAAAUAUUACAAACUUUAUUUUUUUUAUUCAUUAAUUUAUGUUUAUUGAUGAUCUAUUAUUAAUGAUUAAAAGAAUUAGUUACCUUAGGGAUAACAGCGUAAUUUUUUCGGAGAGUUCAUAUCGAUGAAAAAUUUUGCGACCUCGAUGUUGGAUUAAGAUUAUAAUAGGGGGUAAGUUUUCUAUAUUAUAAGUCUGUUCGACUUUUAAAUUCUUACA
rnacentral:rRNA from 1 species